GGCUUGGUAGUCUAGUGGUUUAUGAUUCCCGCUUUGGGCUUGUCUCGGCUUACGAGAUAGACAUUGCGGGGGGUCCCGGGUUCAACUCCCGGCCAAGCCC